GCGCGUGGCUUAGUGGUUAGAGCAUUCGACUCAUGAUCGCAUGGUCAUGAGUUCCAUUCCCAGCAGCGCA
rnacentral:tRNA from 1 species